UACUAAGGUCCAGGCAGGCAACACCCACAGCCUUUCCUUCAUCCACUAGACAGGUCAUCUUGUCAUAGAAGAUCAGAUUCAUCAAGCAGGACCUGCCUUUCCCACACUGUCUGGGUCUAAUCCCCCAGUUGUUCUGCACAUGCCGCAUGAUGGCACUCAGGAUGAUCUGUUCUAUAACCUUCCCUGGGCUGAGGUGAGGCUGACAGGCCUGUAGUUCCUGGAUCCUCCUUCCUGCCUUUCUUGAAGAUGUGAUCCUUCUCCAGCUUUCUCUGGCCUGUCCAGCUUCAGCCAAAGCAGCUCCUGUCCACAGCCAGUCAAGAAGACCCUUGCCCAGGUGAAGACCCUUCCCCUGCACAAGCGUAGUAACAGAAAAGGAUGACACAGCGAAUAUUACAAUUCUAUGCAAAUUACUAACCAAUCAUUGUAAUUGGGAGCGUAUGACCUUGCAAUUUUGUGUAUAAAUGUAAUGGUAAAAUCUACACAGCUGUGCUUGGUUUGUGGAGAUGCCACUGAGCACCCAGUGCUACAAUAAAGGAGCGCCUGCUUCUUAAUGCUACAGUGGUGUUAAGAGGUUUGAUUCCCAAUUUUUGGUAACACUCUCACAGCCAUCUGGAGCCCCUUUUGCUCAGCUAAGUUAUCUAAAGUAUUUAAAACAUCUUCCUUGUUCUUCAGGCCUUAACCCUUUCACAGGGAGCCCAACAGCUGGAGAAAGCAGCAGUGUGGAGCGAGUGAGCGGCCCACGGACGCCGCGGGGAGGGGGGGGGGGAGUGAUGCGAGGGAAGCCCCGCGGGAGACACCCUCGAGUUUUGGAGGAGCGUGGGUAGCUCGGGUACGACUUAGGCAACGCCAGGGCCCCGGGCGGCCUGCCGGCCCAUAGAGCGCGACUUCCGGAGGAGUGAUGGGCCCUUCCGGUAUCCUGGAGGACUGCCGGCCCAUAGAGCGCGACUUCCGGAGGAGUGAUGGGCCCUUCCGGUAUCCUGGAGGACUGCCGGCCCAUAGAGAGUGACUUCCGGAGGAGUACCUGGCACUCCCGGGGGCGUCCAGAAACGGGAGCUCCUGGACGGGGAGCGCGGCGGUACCUGUUGGUGCGGCGGACGCGGGCCUCCCGGGCCUCCUCGGCCUCCCGGGCCUCCUCCUCCGUGCGGCAUGUCACUGCCUGCCGCUGCUGCUCGGUGGGUGCGAGGGGGUGUUAAUGUGAGGCGUGACCGGGGACGGGACGGGACGCGACACUACACGACGACGCCGUCGUUUGGGAAGGACAACUGGAACGCCUCGACACAUCCAGAGAGUGGACAAAUGCUAUAGUCCAGCUCGGGCAACUUGACAGUUUGGCACUUCAGCUCCAAAGUUUGAAGCUCCACAGAGAACAACCCCUCUGAGCAAGCACCGCAGCCUUUAAACAUCACCUGCUUGCCUCCAGCUCUGCUACCCCUUUUUUCUGGGAACUGCAAAUUCCUAGGGGGACGAAUACACAUGCAACAGCUGCACAACAGCAACCCGCUGGCUGCGUGGCUGUGCCACCACCACCUGCUGCACCCGGCCAUUGCUGCUAUGCCUCAGGAGCCUUCAGCUGACACAGUGCUGCCCGAACACCUACAGCCCUGUCAACCACUGGCUUUGCCAACAGCGUGUCCAACAAAACCCACAAUGCUGCUGAUGCUGUGGCGACACGGCGGAAAUGAACACUAUCUGUGGCAAGGACAGACAUAUCACACCAGGUAUGAUACAUAACACUGAAACACCGUGUCAGCUCACCUUUAUUUCAAAGGAGGAACGCACAUGCACGCACACAGCACAAAGGAUUUUAUUCUGAGACACACAGCUGUCCUGAGCAUCUCCACAACUAUCUCUUCACAGCAACAUCAUAUCCAUGAUUUGGAUUCCUCGUGGAAAACGAGGGAGCUCUGCACAUUGUGGUGGGCCCUCACCUUCCAAACCUGCACACAGGAAUAACACUCCACCCAUCAAGUGACACCAAAAACUAUAAAGCCUCUCAAAAGAAUUUAGAAUUCCACACUCACACAAACCAGUUACACUCACCUGCUUCAUGGCCCAAUCCUCCUCUGCUCUGACCAUCUGCUUCAAUUCCACACACCCUUCAACAGUCAGACCCACAAUCAUCUCCCCAUGAUCAUUCACUACACUAUAUAUGGCAGGGCAGGGAAAAAACAACAGCUGAAAGAAAAAAUUUAAAAAACCAAACAAACACUGGCUGGGUUUUAUUGUUGAGGGGUGGGGGGCGUUAAAUAAGGAAAAUGCUAUUUCAACUCUUACCUGCAAGGAAAAACAAAACCACACAUACAAGGCUAGGCACACUCAAAAACCACAGCUGACACCGCAUCCGUUCAGCUGUCUGCCCAACCUGACAAGUGCUUGCUGCCACACGUGAUGCUAGACACAUUCACAUAGGUUGCUGAACUUGUGCAGUACUACAUUCUGGAUAGGACUGAAUGACAAAGCAGAAUUAAAUCCGGUAAGAACCUUUCUCUAAAAUAUCUCUAGUUGCAAAGUGAAUACCGUAGAUCAGCAGCAAUAGUUCUAUGUCACCCAGACUCCUAGUUUUUUCCAUCUGGCUCCCUUAACAGAAAUAAGUCCCUAAAAAUGCCAGGAUGGAGGCUGGGGGGAAGGUAGCAGCAACAGAAACCAUACCAAGCACUUUAAGUAACACUUAAGCUCAAACAAAAAUAAAUGGCAGAACACCUCAGGAGGAGUGUUAAGAGAGACAAAUGAACCCGUGCAGAGCAAUGCUGAAGUCCUUCUCCUAAGAGGACUAUGCAGGUCAGAGAAGCCCCUUUGAAGGCCAGUGGUUUUGACAAGGCUACUUGUCACACAGGUUGAUUCUGGUGCCUGGAAGGAAAAUUGAGGGUAUGGAGGGCACGUGAAGGGUAUGAAGGGGUUCAGGCAGCUUAUAGCAGUGCCUGCAGUGCAGAGACAAAAGGAUGGCUGUGGGGCACGCUGACCAACAGAGGUUCUGCAGGGACUAGAGGGCAUAUGCAGGGCUCUGGAUCAUGAGAAGGCAAGCAGAGGUCUCUGGGGUGCAAGAUUCACAAAUAGGUAGGUCCCCAAGCAACAAGAAUGCUGGGCGGCAUGGAUCUGAGGGUGCAAUGAAUGUAAACAUGGGGCUCUCAGGUGCUCCAAAAGACAAGCCCAGCUGUCCUGAAGAAGAGUAGAUGAAAGUCAGAGUUCUGAAGAGAUUGAGGGCAAACAAAGGGGUCUUGAGGGGGUCAAAAACAAGACCACUGGGAUGUGCCAAAAGCAAGUGGAGAAGUUUUGAGAGGAUUUAAUGGUGCAAAAGGACAAAUGAGUAUCUUGAUACUACCAAAGAGCCUGCAGUAACGAAAAGGCAAGCAGAAUAAUCAUGGCAGUUAGAAGGAAAUGGGCUUCUGAGGGAACAAGACAGCAAAUAAAAAGAUUGUGAGAAGCCCAGAAGCAAAUGGAUGGGUCUUGAGGGGAACAAAUUGCAAGUCUUACCUCUGAGAAGUACAGUGUCCUUGAAUUUUGUUCUGCAGACAGCUGUCCUGUGGGCAUGGCAUGCAACUUUGGGAAUCCCUGCCCAAGCAGUCCUAACCUGCAACACCACGUGAGCACAACUGUUCUCGGCAAGUUGUGUGGUUUCAUAACCUAAAUGGCAAAUGUGGAAAAUGGCAAGUAUUGCUCCAGGACAGCUUUAAUGUUUUUUGCCUCUACAGAGGACAGGGAGAAAGACGCACCCCUCCUCAGCAUCUUGCCCUGCGCCUGCCACUCCUCUCCAGUCACUGCCCACCUCAAGCAUCCAGGGCAGUUGGUUCUCACCUGCAUGGUCCUUCGUGUCCUGCCCCCAGCUCCUCCUCUCUGCCCCAACCCAGGAGUCCAGGCAUCCUGACCUAGUGCUCAUCUGGGAGGACCCAACCACCAGGUCAGGCAGAGCAGAAGUCAGGGAGAAGGGGGUCCUUCCAAAGUCCUGAGGGGUCAAGGUGGCCCUGGAUGCCUGGGUCCCUCACCCAUCUUGGGACACAUGCACAUGUGAGGAAGAGGAAUAUUUACGUUAUCAGUAUGUUAAAACUACAAAAAGCUGCAAACAGGUAUGACACAAUGCAAAAAGUGGGAUGUGAGUGCAGAUAGGGGAAGGUCCCAGGGCUGGAGAAAAUGAACAAAGAAUUGAAAUAAAUAGGAACCAAAAAUCACUGAAAAGCAAGAAAAUACUCUGACUGAGAAGACAAAUAAUAAUAGUAAUAAGAGUAAUAAUGACAAUGAUGAUGUCAGUGGGGCUGCUAUGGGGCACUCAGCCAAGUAAAAUCAUACCAGCAAGCUGAGGAGGUUGGGGAAAAAAAAUACCCAUUUUAGGGUAUUUGGAGAAGGAUGAGGACAGGGCAGUGUGGACAAGACCCCCCUGGUUUGGCGGUGCUGGGGGCUCAGAGGCAGCAGGACUUCCUGGCAGCCUCUGAUUCAGGCCACUUCACUGCAUCAACCCCCCAGCCAAAACAGGCUUUGACCUCACUUGAGGUCACAACCUCUGGCCCUGCUUCCAGACAACUAGAGGGGCACAUGACAGAUUCCCACCUCCCACAGCUUCGGUCCAGAGGGGUGGUUAUGGGAGACUUCAGAGGAUUUUUUUCUUUCUUUUUUUUUCCCCUCUUCUCUUGUAAAACUAGAUGGGUUUGUCUCUUGUCACUCUGGGGGAGUCACCACAUACUGUGUUGGCCUCUCACAUUGCUACCAUUAGUGCUACCAUUAUUAUUAUUAUUAUUAUUAUUAUUCAUUAUUGUUUGUUCUUUCUCCCAAAAAAGCUUCCCCUUCCAAAAACAGGAAAAAAGAGAAGAGCAAGCAGACACUCCCCUGGACUUCUGGGCCUGAGGAGAGAUGGGCACAGUCCCCACUUGGCACCAGCCUGGGGACAAAAUGAGCCAAAUCUGGCCGUGGCUGUUGGCAAACUUGACAGGGAUGGGUUCAGUGGCACUCAGCAGUUUCUGACUGCACAGCUCCUGGACAGCCUCCUCUGCCUCCAUGUGCUUGUCAAUGCAGAUGAAGCCUACCCUCCUUGAGACACCUCUGUGCAGGGAAUCCAGGCAGCAGAACCCUGAGACUGCUGCACACACGCAGGAGCCAGGCAUCCAGGAAAUCCCCUCCACAGACCCUCCUGCAGGACCCAGCUGGAAAUCUAUAGGCAAGACAACCCCAGGCCAGGAAGAAGACAAAGCAGCAACAAAAAUCACAGAGCAGUAUAAGAACACUCCUGAAGAAACUCUGUGCUAGAUUGAAGGAUAGGCCAUGAGAAGAACCACAAUAAGCACAGAAAAGAACAGCAGCCAGAAAAAACACAACAGUGUAGCACAGGUGUCCUGCAGCAGAUAAAAGAAGGAAGGAGGGGCAGAGAGUGCUGCUCAUAAGAAAAUCGUUAGCAAGAUGGCUAACCCAAAAGACCUAGGCCAUGAAGAUCACGAUGCAGGUGGCAAAACAUGAGCCCAGACAGCCAGGCAAGACAGGUCAGCAAGUACUUCCCACCAGAGAAAGGCCAGCAGAGCUGAGAGGGCAGUCAUCAAGAGACAGAAAAACUUCAGCCUAGAUGAGCACAGUAGAGACAUCAGUACAGGCAGGUAGGAAAGCGUUAUAGUGUGCUGCCUUAGAGACCAGCCAGCAAAACAAAGGUGACCGGGGGGAAGAAUGAUGGACAGAAGAGUCUACAAACCUGGAAUGCCACAGUGCACCACUCUACACAACAGAGCACACUUGAUCUGUGCAAGGUGUGGGUUGCUUUGAAAGGAACACAAGAGGGCUUCGGGGCACACUGAAGGCCACAGAAAGCAUGGGCCCCCAUGCAAAGACAGCCUAGCAACCUGAGGCAACCAGAGCCAAGACAGCUGGCAAGAAAACUAUGGCACAAAAGCACACCACAGUAAUUGCAUGCAUGGAGAGCAUGGCAAGACAUCUGAUACAUGCAGAAGGGAUUGCUGAUUUCAGCUGGUGCUCAUGAGGUGACUGUUGUAAUGGCACAAUGAUGGAUGUAUCGUGCAUUUCAAGCAGUAGGAAUAAGGUGAGUAAGAGCUUGGAAGUCAGAACGCCCAUAGGCAAGACAGAUGAAGCCAAAUGGGUGCCAUGGAUGGCAAAGAGGAGCAAAGGAAGGCCAGAGCCAUCCUGUCAGGCUUACCCUUCCCACCUACCUCCACACGCCUCUCUCCUGUCAGGCUCCUGCCUUGCUUACCCCCAUUAUAGCUCUACAGACUCCAUCCCCAGAAGGCGCUCCCAAGAGCUGUCUUGCCCACCCACCCUCAGCUCUGCCUCCAUGGCAGCUUCUCCAAAGCCUUCCCAUCAACUGCAGCCUUCCUGUCUGCAUUCCCUGCAGUGUUCCCCCACUGCACAUCCACAGUCCCAGUGCCCAUGUCACCAAGUGUUGGACUUGUUUAGCCCCACUGAGCCUGCCGCAGCACUCACUCUCCCCUGCUGAGCCUCACUCUGUCCUCGGCACCACGUGUGCUUCUUUACUGAGAAGAGACUCUGUGACAAGGCUGCAUCAGCUCUACCAUAAGUGCUGUAACAGGAGGAGGGAAAAAAUCAGGCACAGCUUGGCGAUCUGGCCAGGAACAUAGCACAUGCCCCUGCUCCCUCCAUCCUACCUGCCUGUUCCUGUCUGCCUGGACACACACAAGACUUGACACAAAUCAGACCACAGUCACAAACUCAGCUUUUCUUAUGAAUUGUGCUUCUCUUUUGUUACAUCCUUUGUAUGAUUACAGUUCCAGCUCUGGGAGUGUUGUAUUUUGUCCCUUCCCAGGAACAAUAAUCCUGGAGUGACCAGUGAAAAUGCUGUUACCCGUUCCCCAAGAAGGAAAGGAAAAGGGUCACUUAUCACUGCUAAUAAACGAGACCUGCCUCCCA